AGACUCCAGCUCAAAUAAAUAAAAAUGCAGACCCAUCAUCUCAUUGGAAAGCUCACCUGUCCAGCAACCUUGAAGAGUGGCAGAUGAGCCCGGACACAGCAGGAACCUGAAAGCUCAAGACACUUCUCUUCAGACCCGUGAUACUCAUCCUAUGGCUCAGCCAUGAGGCAGAGCAGGCCCCAUCCGAGGGUCCUGGAGUGAGCAACAGAUGCAGAAAGAAGAAAGCAGUGCCCAGUAGAAGCCACCAGAAUCCCCUGACAUCCCCAGCAAUCCGGUGUGGGUGUGCUCAGAGUGACCCACUCGCUUCUCGGCCAUACCAUCUGCAAGCAGCAAGAGAGAGGGAAAGUGCCAGAGAGCAGGUGACUCUAGUCUCUCAGGUGAGGGCCUUAUUCUUUAAGACUCUGUAAAAAUAAUUAGUAAAUACGUAGGGUCAUGGUCAGCCGAGGAUCGGAACAGCUGGCAGAAGAUGGGAGCGAGAGGGCAGGUAAGAGGUACCAAAAUACAG
rnacentral:lncRNA from 1 species